UCCGCAUGUUGUGUAAACAGAUGCUUUCGCCGCCGUGGGAAUAAGAAGAAACUAUGGAAUGUGUGCUUUCUUUCUCGAGAGACGAGCAGUAUCUUCACGAACGUUGCGAUUCUCGGAAUCGCUCUGCGCCCACUCAAAU
ensembl:ncRNA T04C12.29 ncRNA